rnacentral:rRNA from 1 species
GAUGAACGCUGACAGAAUGCUUAACACAUGCAAGUCGACUCGAGUCUUCGGACUUGGGUGGCGCACGGGUGAGUAACGCGUAAAGAACUUGCCUCUUAGACCGGGACAACAUCUGGAAACGGAUGCUAAUACCGGAUAUUAUGGUUUUUUCGCAUGGAGGAAUCAUGAAAGCUAGAUGCGCUAGGAGAGAGCUUUGCGUCCCAUUAGCUAGUUGGUGAGGUAACGGCCCACCAAGGCAAUGAUGGGUAGCCGGCCUGAGAGGGUGAACGGCCACAAGGGGACUGAGACACGGCCCUUACUCCUACGGGAGGCAGCAGUGGGGAAUAUUGGACAAUGGACCACAAGUCUGAUCCAGCAAUUCUGUGUGCACGAUGACGUUUUUCGGAAUGUAAAGUGCUUUCAGUCGGGAAGAAGUGAGUGACGGUACCGACAGAAGAAGCGACGGCUAAAUACGUGCCAGCAGCCGCGGUAAUACGUAUGUCGCAAGCGUUAUUCGGAUUUAUUGGGCGUAAAGCGCGUCUAGGCUGCAAGGAAAGUCUGAUGUGAAAAUGCAGAGCUCAACUCCGUAUGGCGAUGGAAAAUUGCCUUACUAGAGUACUGGAGAGUUUGGCGGAACUGACAAGUGUAGAGGUGAAAUUCGUAGAUUUUGUGCAAUGCCCAUUGGUUAAACCCAGUCUAUUGGAUGAUUCUGACUCUUGUGUUCGAUUGUGUGGAUUGCUAUGUGUAUGAAGAUUCUGUUGGAGGCCGUGGUGGCAUUUCUGUUGUAUUGCACUUUGUUGAUGUCAUCCAUAGCUGGGGGUAACAAUAUAAAAAAUAAUGUAUAUCAUUUCUGAAUGCUGUCUCCUUGCUAACUCUAUUUUAUCUAUCACUCUGUCCUUCUCUUUGUGCUGUGCUGCAUCUACGUGUCUGUGUGUGUGUGUUGUCUAUUCCUCUUGUUGCGUAUGUGUGUGUCCAUACCAUCUACUCAUUGCCCUAGCCUGUCUUUGUUAUGCUUUCUUGUGUGCUUUGCUCUAUGUAUGUUUCUCGCUUACUGUUUCCUGUGCUGCUGCUGCCCUCCUGCCUACUUCCCCUGUGCCCUGAUGUGGGCUAGCUGAGUGUGUGAUGAUGAGAUUGUUCCUUUGCCCUCUUUAUGUUGAUUCUUGUAUGUGUCCUAUGCAGGUGAAUAUAUGCUAUAGUAAGUUGUUCUAGUUAGCUAUCUGUUGCUUAUAUCUAUAGUUAUUUAUACCUAAUGUUUAGUUUCCCCAAUAGUAUGGUUUGAGCCCCAGAGAAC